GAGCCCUGCCUAUGAAACUUUUGUUAUUUUUCCCUCUAACAACUUCAGUUGUUCCCACAAAGCCGAUGACAGAGAACGCCUUUUCAUAUCCCAGGAAAUAGCAUCAUACAAUUCAAUAAAAACGGUUCCUGAGGUGAAUGCCAAGACAGGAGUCGAGUAUUGAAGAUGUGAUAUUCAAAACUGGCAACCUCAAUCUACUGCUACUGAAAUUGAGCAAAGCAAAAAACUACAAUUAAGUCUUCUGUUCAAGCUAUUCUUCAAAAUGGAUCUUACUACAAAUAGAGGUCUCAACCUAUUACUUAAUUUCCUGCUUAUUUUCUUGGUUCUUGUUGUCAUGUACAUCCUUGUGAAGUUGAUGUGAAUUUCUGGUCGAAGACUUUGCCAUGACAACUUGAACCUUUAAAGUACAAAACAAGUAAAAACUGGAAAACCCCGCAACCCAAUAACCUGCUGAUCGAGGAAGCUUUUUUAAAAAGAUAAAUUAAGAAUAAGAAUUUGUUGGUGUGCAUUUUUAUACCAAGACAGACUAAGAAUACAGUGUAGAAAAGCGACACCUUCAUGUUUUGGAAUUAAAAUAACAAGCCACUCCAGUGACCUAUAUUUAAGUAUCUACUGUUCGAAAAGUGGAUUGUGGACUUCAGCGCUACAACAUUUCAAGCAGAACAGGGAGGAAAAAAACAACGCAAGAACUGCAUCGCCACAAUCUGAAAAACAGUGGAAGAAUAGAGGAAACAGCAAGCAUGAAAUAUCUAUCAGAAGAAGAUAAUUAUAAAGUAGAGUCUCACUUAUCCAACAUAAACGGGCCGGCAGAAUGUUGGAUAAGUGAAUAUGUUGGAUAAUAAUGAGGCAUUAAGGAAAAGCCUAUUAAACAUCAAAUUAGGUUAUGAUUUUACAAAUUAAGCACCAAAACAUCAUGUUAUACAACAAAUUUGACAGAAAAAGUAGUUCAAUACGCAGUAAUGCUAUGUAGUAAUUACUGUAUUUACGAAUUUAGCACCAAAAUAUCAUGAUGUAUUGAAAAUAUUGACUACAAAAAUGCAUUGGAUAAUCCAGAACAUUGGAUAAGCGAGACUCUACUGUAUAAAGAAAAGUGCAAUCUCCUGUAAUUUUUACCUGGUGGGAGGGGAGGGCAAAUAGUAAUUACAGAAUGUACAGAAAAAGACUUAAUGCCAACAAGUAGACAUGCUCAUUCAGAAGCAGGCCUCUCACAGCAUGCAGUGCUAAGCUUUACUCAUAUAUACUAGGGGAUAAAGCCCACUAAACACAAGUGAAACUUGCUAUGUAUAUCUAUAUAUAAGUCUAGAAAAACUGUGAUUUUCCAUGAGUCAAUAACUACUGUGCUGAACUGUUGUUUUUUAAGAACCAUCCCCUUCUCUUGAGUGCAAUGGUGAAAAGCAAAAGCUUAGAACAUACAAGGAGAACCUAAAAGAAACAUCUAACCUCCCUAUUCUCUUGGCAAUGCCAUUUCUGACUUUUUUGAGUACCUGGCAGAUAAAAUGGUGGUAACAGUGAUUCUUAGACAUGUCUCAAAGAAAUACCAAGAGAGGAAAGGUGCUUCUUUUAGGUUCUCCUGGGAUGGACUAGGUUGUCUUCUUUCAUCUCACUAAAAGCAAAAAUAGCCCCCUUUAUACAAGAGUUAAUACAGCACCUUAACUUUUAUCAAAAAAGAAACCAUCACCUUCUCUGAGUAGACUGAUGAAAAGCCUUUUUAAUGCCUGGAUGGGAAAAUGGCAGUAGUGGUGGCCAGGGGCAACUGGCUUCGAGGAGACAUUGGUGCUUUCCUGUCCCUGUGGAAUGACUUUUCCAUGGGUCACAUCAAAAUCCAUAAUUUUGGCAUCAAAAUAGGUCUUCAACUUCUCUAUUAGUAUACAGUAUAUGGUGCUUACAAACAAACAAACAUGAAAAUGAUUUUAAGAGGAUAUGUAUAUUCCACAAUAGCAUGUUAAUUAUGACAUGUUUGGGAGACUAACAGACUAUCCUCUUAAUGACAUACACAUUAAGUUAUUCGUAUCCUUACGUCAUAAAUGUAAGCCCACACUCCAAAUCUAGGCCAUUCCCUCUAUUGAUUUUCAGAUCAAUUUUAACUCCGUCUGUAGCUUCAUAGGCCUUCCAAGCUAGAAGAUAGUAUUUUACAGAGUACACAUUACAGUGGGUGUACUUAAAUAGUUCUUUUCUAUUUGUUGCUCUUUGAUUUGAUGUAAAUAUAGACGUGUAAUGACUAUUUUAAACAAAUAUUUUUUAAAAUUCUGAAUGCAGAUGUCUCCUACACUAAAAUACUACUACUUAGCCUUCUUAUUAGUUUUGUUUACAGAUCUGUCUUGCUCAGAAAGCUCAGUGAAAUUACUAGACAAGUUUUAUAUGCUGUGUCACUGGACAUACUUGUGAGAUAUGUAUGCUUACAUGCCCACCCUAGGGGAAUGGUGAUCUUCAAAAAUAGAAUGACUAGUUAGGCUUGUUAGAUUAAAUGGAAUAUUGCAUGAAACUCCAGUAAUCUUAUGUUACAGAAUGCAAAACCCUCAGACGCCACAUGCAGUAUUAUCUGGAAAACAGCUACACGGAUUCAUAAUCAUUUCCAAAAUUAUCAGCCAGAAGUAACAACAACAAAAAUUGGAUAAUCUGUUUUAGAUUAUGCAGAACCCAAUUAUACACUUUUGGAUCUCAGAGGUCUGUGUAUCCUCCUGUAGCUCCCAUGUAGCAUAAAAUGCUGCACUGGAAGGCUGAGAAACCAUCAGCAAAUUUUGGGCAGAACAAUGUAGUAAUAGGGUGAAGGGAAGAAAGUCUUAGUUCUGCUGCCAUGAGAUACUUAAGUAUACUGUUGAAUCGUGGCCACAUUCAUUUAUAAAACCGCCACGUUUCACAAAAUUGAGGUAUUUUUGCACCUAAUCCUUUAACACCAGAAGCAUGACAAAACUCUGGAUGCAUACAAUAAAGACCCAAACAUUCCCCAUUGCCCAAGCUUGAAAUCAUUUUACUGGUGUGUUGAACUCUUUUAAAAAUUUCACAUUUACAUAGGAGAUGUCAUCUUCCUAAAAACAUCCUCAGACUUUAUCAUUCUUAUGGUUUUUGUUUUAGUUCCCAUGGUUUAAUCUAGUUACCUGCUAAGGAAUAAUUAAAACCACUUAACUAGUUAUUUAUAAGCCACAUUGUUUUGUCACUGUUCACUGCUGUGAAAAAUGGAAAGGCCACUCUUAGCAGAAAACCUAUACACACCCAAAUAUACAGGACAAUUAUCAAAAUGUACUGCUGUCAACAUAAUUUACCAGUAUUAAGAACUGCAUCAGUUUAAAGAUAUAAAGAUGUACCUAAUCUUAAUACAUGAAAAAGUUGAAUUUUAUUAAAGAAUGAAAAUUAAGGUUAUGUAAUUCUUUCUUUCUUCUUAUUGUUUUCUUCUCCACAUCCAGAAAUAUAUGAAAAUAAUUGAAAAUUUUUAUAGUUUUGCAAGCUCAUGAUUACAUAUAAGGGUAAAUGCAGUCCCAUUUUAUUUCAACUAAAGCUUUUACAAUAUUUCAAUUACAAGACUUUUACUUUAAAUUAAAAUCUUUAAUAUAGAACAACAGUUAUGCACUAGAAUAAAUACUCGGGAGGACCACUGGUUUCACUUAUUAAUAUAUUGUUGGAUGCAUAAAUGAAUUUGAGGAAGUGGCCUGGAGUCCACAAAAGCUCAUACUAAAAUAUGCCACAAGAUUCCUCCUCCCCUCCAUUCCAUAUUGAAGCAGACUUAACCAGGCUGUGCUCUUUAAUAGUGUAUUAUGCAAUUUCUUUUUCUAUCCACUUGAGGGCAGUAAAUGCUGCAUUUAAAUUCUUACCUGUACAUGAUGCUCACUUCCCGUUCUAAAUUCUUCAAGCUGCUGUAAUUGCCAAGAAGGUAAACUGUAUGACUCCUCAGAAGAUCUAGACUCGGGUGGAUUUGUAUGAAAUUGUUCUGUAAGCCACCUCUGAGUCCUCUCAGAGGGCUGAAUAGGAAGCCCGCUCACAGCCUGUGCCCCCAAAGUUAUAUAUCCAGGAUGGAAAGCCUCACAGUUUGAUAUAACAGGCUUGCUUUCAGGUAAGGCACUAUAGGUCAUGUCUAAGGCAUGUCUCCUGUUUGAGGGAUCAGGAACCCCCAAGUCUUCUUUGCUGCAACUUUCAAACUUGUAUUUGCAGUCCAGGGUAGAACUUCUCAUCUUCCCUGUUUCUCUGUCUUCAGUUUUGAGAACUUCCAUACUACUGUGCAAGCAGCUUGUCCCAUUUGUUCUUAAUGGUGGUGACACAGUCUUGUCUCUUCCCAUUUUUUCCAUGCUGACCCUGUACUCUGCUGCAUAAAUGCCCCCAUCCUGGCUACAGCUCACAGAUGGGCUGAGCUUCGACAAAGAUGACCAUUUCCUUACAGGCCUCAAGUCCUUCAUGUCAAGAGAGCUGUCCAGCAUGCCCUGAUGUGUACUUCCAGCGGACCUCAAAAGGCUCGUGCUCCAUUUUGAACAGUCAGUCUUGAGAAGUUCCCGAUGUUUGGAAAGCGAAGAACUGGCAUUAGUCGGCAUCACAUGGGCAGUGGGAAUUGAGACUAGGGAGCGGCUAGGCUUAAACGAGGAGGUACCACUUGAGGUCGAAUGAUCUGGGGAGAAAGAUUUUCAAUGUGUAAGUGAAGGUAGUGCUAACAAAAGCAAGCCAACAUCACAGGCCACAAUACACUAUGUAACAUGAUUUUGUUCCUGGGUUAUAAAUGUAAUUUCCUAAUUGGUUUUAUUAUAAAAAAUAGAAAAAGUUUAUUCAAUCAAUUCAACAUAGUUUGUGGCAGCCACAAAAACGAAGUUUCAUAAGUAUAACAACUACUUUCAAAGUAAGUACCUCACAAUUAAACAGGAAAUAACACCUUCAAACCAGAAACAGAUUUUUUUUCAAAUUUUGUUACAUAGAAAGACCUGCAAGCACAGGUCAGAGCCAAGAUUAUUUACAUUUACUGAAUCUCUAUUUUUCAGACAUUAGCUAAUUUAAAUGAAUCCUUUCAUGACUCACAUACAAAACAACCAACUGCCAUCAAUCUUAACUUUUUCUUCUACUACUACCAUAGCAGCUGCAGCUUUUGGAGAGAUAUAAACAAUAUUUACAAUAUUUACUGUAUCAAUUCUUAUAUACUAUUUUCCCCUGUUUAUAGCUGCAUGACUGGGCAUUACUUGACUGCUGGGAUAUUUACUUCAUUGACAGCUAAAAGUUGCACAAAAUAUCAUUGAUUAGAUGGAUAUAUGGUCAUUUCCUUCCUAGUUGUAAUAUACACUAGCAAACCGCAUUCUUCUAUUCAUAGGAUCACAGGAGAUGUUCAAAUAGUUGUCCAGGAUUAAGUAAAGUUUAGAUCCUUGUGCUCACAGGCAGCCAUCAGGAGCUGUUUCAAAAGGGCUCUUGGCCCCGUUACACUCCCCAAAAUCCAUUCUCCUGCACCCCAAAAACUGAACUGCCUUCCCCAGAAGCCUACAAAAACAAUUUACCAUUACAAUACAUUACAGGGCCCCUCUCCACUGUGUGUUACCAAAGAAAAGAAACUAAAGUGAACCAAAUUUAAAAGUGAAAUUCUAACCACCUGUAAACAGUUUUGGGAGGUUUAGGGGGCAUUAUUUGUGUCUCGUCCCCCGAUGCAUCUCUGACAAUCUGUGCAGCCUCUGGAAGAUUCUAGGGCAAAAAUCUGACAAUUAAACUGCAAACCCCAAUAGUAGACAGUGAUUUGGAUCUUGAGUUGUAGUUGUACAAGAGGAAAACGCUUUCACUGGACCUCCAAGUUUUAUCUUCACCUUAACACUACAACCCCACCCCACCCCUUCCCCAAACACACCAGAAGGCUUCCUGCAUUGUCUGAAAGAGCCUCUGAAGAUAUCUUUAUGGGCUGUAGAGAGCUAAAAUGGGAACAGGGAGGUUUUAUUUAAUGGAACGUAAGUUAAGAUCCAAACCUUUGUACCAGGGAAACUAUGCAAUAUGCAGCAAAUAUAAAGUUACUGCCUUGGCUUUCAACACUCUGGCUCCAUCUUGAAUGUGAAAUGUCAGUAGGCUGAGAGAAAAAUCCCAAUGUACCAAUGUUCCUAGACAGACAAGCAAGUUAAAAUUAACAAAGGUGAGGCAAAGGUUAUGGGAAUUUGAGUAGCAGCUCUCCUAUGCCCAGCAACUGCUACUUUGCAUCGGAGCCAGCAGACAAGCAAAAAUAAGCAGCUAAUCCUGGCAUUAGAAUCUUAGCCUUUACUAUGGCACAUGGCUCAACCUUCUCCCUAGCUAUUCACGUUGCUCCAGCCUGCAAAGCUUUUUAAAAAGUCUUACCAUUUCACUCUAAUCAUCAUUCUGAAGUUACAUUUGUGGCUUUUUAAAGAAACCAGAAGUGGGAAAACUACCAUAGCUUCACGUGUUUUUGAAUUUCAGCAAUGGUGAGGAAACCUAGGAACUUCAGUUUAACAAUAUCUAAAGAUUAAAAAGCCGCAGUAUGGAAGAUAACAGUUUAGCAGUACAACUUUCUACAUGUUUAGCAAAUCCCACUGAAUUCAAGGUAAGUUUUAUGUGGUAAUACAAUUCACUGAACUGAAGGGAACUUACGUCUGAGUACAAUUGCUAAACAGCACUGCAAAAAUUGUACUGGCAUGGAUUGCAGCUGAAUGCUGAAACCUGCAGUUUUCUGUAAUUAGUCUUGUUAGAGAAGAAACCAAAGCAGUUUUAGUGUGAAUGUUAAACCAUUUGAGAAGCACUGGAUACCAAUUAAAAUAAAAGGUCAUAGUUCAAAGUCCUUCUUCAGUUAAGACACCAAGGACAUACAGAAUAUGGUUCUUUGUGCCCUGCAAUACACUGAUCUUUCUCAAAGUCACACAUCCUGAAGUCUUUAGUGAUUAACAGUUCCGCCAAAUAAGCAGGGUGAAAGAGAGGAUGUUAAACUUUAAUUAUUUUUUUGUUGAUUAAUCACAUUGAUCAAUCAAUUAAAGCUAGCAGCUUGUGCUUCUAACUAAUGCAUGGCACGGGGACAGCAACGGUCCUAUUAUGUUUGUUGGAACAGAGGCAAUUCAGAUAUGUUACAUGCAUUGUUUGUAAGUUUAAUUUCUAAUGCUCCAUCUAUUCAGCCAUAAUUAAAUGAAUGCCCUUGAGAAAAUGGGCAAGUGUACACUUGGCUGAUUUUCCUCUAAUUGAACUCCAAACAUACAAGACAGUGAAGAUGUUUCUAUUCAAAGAGCUGUUUGCCAACAUUCAGACUAAUAAAUAUUUGGUUACAGGCUUCUAUUUUGCUUCAGUUCAAGAUGAGUAUUCCUGCCACAUAAUUUCAAGGGAGGAGAUACUUUACGAUUUCUCUAUUCCUGUUUUUAAGUCAUAUAAUGUAGAAUUUACAACAAAAUGUACUGGUAAUUUUCAAACUGAAUAGAGAUUAUUUGUUAUUUUAAUGCACACAAUCAAUUAUCAAGAAAGAAUGUCUCAAAAAAUAUCUCCCAAAGAAUGUAUCUGGUUUGGAAUUAUGCAAACCAAUGGAAAAAGAUGGGACCGCCUGUCCACACUGUGUAAAUCAGAGAUCAGUGUUCGGAGGCAACUGUAUCCUCUAUUUCACCAUCACCCUCUGGAGAUUAUGACUAGCAGCAAUAGUGUACAAGGUUGCUGUAAAACUAUCAGAUGUUCUAAAUCAAAAAACACAACAUAAACAUAAACACAACUAGUCCAUUAUGUUCUUCUUGUUCCAACUGGCUUUAAUGUCAGAAUGGAGAGGUACUGUGUAUACUGAUACCGCAACAUUGCUGCAUUCCCACAGUUUGGAAACAAGCUACAGACCGUCCCUGAGUUACAAACAUCCAACUUAAAAAGACUCAUAGUUGCAACUGGGGAUGAGACAUCAGGAAGUAAGAGAAAUCCACUCCUAAGAAGGGAAAUUCACUCCUGAAAGAGUUAACAUGGGGGAAAUGUGUCUCCAUUGAAGCUUUAUCACAAUCCUUGUUUCAACAACAAGCCAAAUUUUUCGCAAUCCAAUUAACACAGGGAUAGAAAUUUUCUGAAUAUGGGUAUAGACAGCAAAACCAACACCUCAGGGGUGUUAAUACUUCCCUAUAUUAUCUAAAAGUUCGAGUUAUGCUUUUAAGAUGCACCUGUUCCUAACUACAAACAAAUUCAACUUAAGAACAAAUUUACGAACCUUUCUUGUUUGUAACCUGGGGACUGCCUCUGGUGUCAUAUGACAGAAAUACUAACAGGAUACAGAAGAGAAGGGAAAAUAUAGAAUUAUGACAGAACAGAGACCUAACUAUUGUGAAUUUAUAUAACACCCCUUAAAUGCAUUAUGAACCAUUAGAUACAUUUCCAUCUCAGAAAAAUACAAUGAACCGCAUUUUAAUUUUGGAGAAGAGAUGCAUAAAAGUAGCACCAUAAAGUGAUGAGAAAAUGACUUGUUGUAAAACAUGAUGUUUUGGUGCAUAAUUUGUAAAAUCAUAUAUAAUUUGAUGUUCACUAGGCUUUCCCUAAAUCCCUCUUUAUUAUCCAACAUUUUCGCUUAUCCAACAUUCUGCUGGCCCGUUUAUGUGGGAUAAGUGUGUUGUAUGUCAACCUGUUGUUCCCACUGUAAUGCCUAAACCUGAAGUUCAUGAAGGAGCUAGAAGAUGGCCAAUGUUCAGAUGAGAGUCCACGGAAAGAACUUUCACCAAAUUCUGAUAGUGACUCAGAUUUAACUUAACCUGAUACAAUUUUAAAUCAUGUCAAAAGCAACUUGAGAACAUACUGCAAGUUGCUUCUGGUGCUAGAGAAUUGGCCAUCUACAGAGACGUUACCCAGGGGACGCCUGGAUGUGUUACCAUCCUGCUGGGAGGCUUCUCUCAUGUCCCCACAAGCUAGAGCUGACAGAUGGGAGUUCACCCAGUCUCGUGGAUUCAAACCACCAACCAUCAGAUCAGCAACCCAACCUUCAGGUCAGCAGUCCAGCCGGCACCAGGAUUUAACCCAUUGCGCCACCGCAGCUCCUUGCCUGAUACAAUGAAGACCAGCCACAACUAUCCUUGCCAAGUAAACCCUCUUGCAAUGCCCAGUAUUUCACUAAAUAUGUAUCAAAGAUAAAUGCGAGAUGUAAAUACAAUCAGCUUCUUUGACCACCUGUCCAGAAACAUUAAAUCAUUCAGCCUCGUACAAAACCUCUUCUGCAAAAUGCUACUCGUUAUUUUACCCCUUAGUUCUUAAAUGAAGGGAGUAGAAAUAUAAAUGGAGCUAUUUUACACAGUGCUACAUCUGACCUGAUUUUAUGGCACCUAAUAGUAACAACAAAUCCUUUAUUGCAAUGGCAUCUGGUCUACAGCAAAGCUGUAAUAAAACAUCUGAUAUAUGCAUAAACACAUACCCAAUGAAGAGAAACAUACAAGUAGUGAUUUUCUGAUGCCUGAAUGCUUUUCGCCAUUAUUCAUGAAGAGAGUUAAAUGGGUAAUACACCAAAACAAUUUGCACAUGACAAAAGGGUACAAGUGAUCUGAUAAAUCAAAGAAAAAGGUUAGUAACAAGACGAUGUGAUAUUUUUUAAAAGCAAGGUGUAGCAGAAAUACUACAAAUCAAAUAAUGUGUUUAUAAGGAAUCCACAAGACAAACAAACAGAAAGAAAUGUUCUGAUCAGAGAUAUAAUACUAGAUUAGAUUUCAGACAAACAAGGGCUCAGAAGCAUAACCUUAAAUCGUAUGUUUAUUGUUUAAUAAUGCGGCCCUUCUACUGUAUAGGAUGAAGAAGAAAAAAGUCCAGCAGAUCCAAAUACAUGGUUGUUAGAAACUGUGGCAGGAAGAAUGGUCAGAAGUAUGGAGUUAGCUUUGUUCAGAUGACUACCAAUAGACUACAAUUCCCAUCUAUUGCAUAUAAGAUAUCUUGAGCCAGCAAAUCUGUGGCCCUUGAGAAGGUGAUCAAUUACUAGUCUCAUUAUUAUUGGUCAGGUUUGCUAAGGCUGAUGAGAAAUACAGACCACAUGUUCUCUUGCCCAGAUCUAUGUUAGUGGACAUUCAAGGAAAUAUUGCAUCAAAUAAUAAUUGUUUUCAUUUGUGACUAAAAGCAGCAAAGCGUAAUUCUGGUCCCCAAUACUGAAAUCCAUACUGAGAUCUACCACUAUGUCUUCAUUUAAGCAACAGAACAUACAGGCUACCAAAAUCAGUAAUAAUAAUUCACUAUAUACUGUUUCCGAGAUAACUAGGCUUUAAAUUUUUUCAUAAAAUGCUGAAACCUUCAUUUUUGAAAUGCAAUUAACAUUACAAACAUUUACAAUGUAUAAUCAAUGAAAGUGCUGACCACUUAGAAGCUUUGCUGCAGAGGACAAGAAAACAAACCACUGCAGGUUUUGCCAAUCCUGUUAUAAAAGUAUCGGUAUGUUAAUCCAAUUUCAGCUCAAAUGUUAUUAGAGAGGUAAGCAGAGAAGAUUACUGGCAUCUAGCAUUCUGGUGCUUUAUAAAAUGUAGCAUAGUAGCUGGGUAUGGGUUUGGAUCAUGAAAUAAUUUUAAUUCAGUGACAACCAGUUGAAAUUCAGCCUCUAAUAACGUCCCUCUUAAGUUAUGGGGACAAAGGACAAUAAGAUUAUGUACUUUGCUUUACAAUUAAUACCAAGAAUGUCUCAAAAACAAUACUUUAUUGAAAUGUCUGAAAUAUAUUUGUGAAUUUUAUGUUAGGCUGUAUUCUUCUUCCUUAUGACUUCCCAUAAGCAGGUUUUGCUUUACUUGUGCUAAUCUUGCAAUUUAAGUGUGUGUGUGUAUGUUCUUGUUGAGGCUGAUGUAUCAUGCAAGCACAAAUGUCAAAAACCAAGUACACCAGAGGCAUACAUCACUAAAUAUACACACAACAAAACUGCAUACAUUAAAGACACACAAACUUCUAAUACAAAAGGUUUGCAAAUCAAAAAUCAAUGGAGUUUGACUAAGCCAGCCACAGGACCCCAUAGUCACAGGUACAUAGAAUUUCUUUCUUUAUUACAGCCAAUUCUAUAGGCCAUAAAGUUGUGCACUCAGCAGGCCAUAAGCAUGUGGCAAAUCUUCAUACAGACAAUACUAACAAAAGUGGUCAUUAAUGGGAAGAUGGGAAGAGAAGCACUGUUUCUCAUAUGGCCUGAUGUAGCGAGAUGGUAUUUUGCCUAUAUGAACUAUUAGCCUUGGGCAAUGCACUGACACAUUCAAAUUGGCUUUACUAUUCAGAAGCAAGAGAACACCAACUAAAAUCAAACCUUUAUAAAUAAUGCAAAUGAGGAUCAAAAAAACACACUGCUUUAUAUUUAAUUCAUAAGAACACCCCACCACACACAGUCAUAAAUUGACACGACCUACACAUAUGGGCGGGGAAAAACACAGAGCCUUCUUCCACAUUGUAAAGGUUACCUGCAUGAAUUUUAAGCGAGGUAGAAUUAUUUCUGAUUGUAAGAGUAUGUUUCUGGUAGACUUCUCUAGCCUAAGUUUCAAAAUUCUUUUGCCAGGCUAUUAGUCUUGUCUGAUGGUCAAAAUAUAAGGAACAGGGAAUCCAGGAAUAUGUUGUGUAUGUAUGCGCCUUCAAGUUGCCUGUCGCAUAAAGAUGACCCCAUGAAUAGAGGAGAAAAAAAAUCUUCCUGACCAACACUUCAUACUUUGCACACAUGAUCUCCCACACUAUUUCGAACGGUUCCUGUCCCCAAAGAAAAAGUCCCCAUCCAC